CUCUCCCUCUCUCCUUGCCACCAUGAAGUCCCUAUCCCUCUCCCAGCUCGAUCUCUCAGCCUCUCACAGCUCAUGCAAGGUCGCCUCUCCCAACCUCCCAACUCAAUCUCUUAGUCUCUCAUGCGAAAGAGUUACUAGCUCCAAAUGCAGCUACCUCCUCAAGUAACUCUGAAGCAAAAGAAGAAGAUCAUGAUGAUAAGAUGAGUGAUGAUGAUGAUGAAUGAUGAUUAACCCUUUAGAUUUCUAUACUUAUGGUUACUUUGCUUAAAGUUUGAACAUUCAAAAUUUUGCAUGAUGGAUUGUGAUUAUAUGGACUAUAGAGUAUGGACUUUGAUUAAUUAUGAGCUAUAGAAUAUGGACUUUGAUUAAUUAUGGCUAGGUUAUCCUGUAUGAUGGUUUUAAUGUCUUUAAAUUUAAGAAUCCAGAUUGUUUUUAUCUGUAAA